GUGAAGAAGACUGUAUUUUCUGUGUUGUACGCUCUAAGUCAAGGACCUAGUAAUAAACUGGAAGGCACAACAAAACAAAAGGAGUAUCCCACAAACUUUACAGACAGACAAAAUAAUCCUGAGUGCAGCCAAGUUAUGUGACUGCUGAAGGAGCCAGACUGCAAAGUGGAAAAUCCCAUCAGAGCCAAGCAAGGAGGAAGCCAGCUAAGACUGGCUACUUUCCACCACCAAAUGUCAGUCUCUCUCUGGCAGGUGAAAAAUCCAAGGCUACAAGUUUACACUGCAAGAUUAUCCCACUGUGCAUUGCAUUUUCUGCCCUGCUGGUACCCAGUGCUCGUCCACCUCCCCUGGGUUUAGCUUCACCCCACUUCCCACCUGGCAGUACUCACCAAUAGCCUGAGCAAGGGCUAUUACAACUUCCUGGCAUGUUGUGACUUCGGUGACCCCA